AGAACGAACGCUGGCGGCAUGCCUAACACAUGCAAGUCGAACGAGACCUUCGGGUCUAGUGGCGCACGGGUGCGUAACGCGUGGGAAUCUGCCCUUGGGUCCGGAAUAACUCAGAGAAAUUUGAGCUAAUACCGGAUGAUGACGUAAGUCCAAAGAUUUAUCGCCCAGGGAUGAGCCCGCGUAAGAUUAGGUAGUUGGUGGGGUAAAGGCCUACCAAGCCGACGAUCUUUAGCUGGUCUGAGAGGAUGAUCAGCCACACUGGGACUGAGACACGGCCCAGACUCCUACGGGAGGCAGCAGUGGGGAAUAUUGGACAAUGGGCGAAAGCCUGAUCCAGCAAUGCCGCGUGAGUGAUGAAGGCCCUAGGGUUGUAAAGCUCUUUUACCCGGGAUGAUAAUGACAGUACCGGGAGAAUAAGCCCCGGCUAACUCCGUGCCAGCAGCCGC
rnacentral:rRNA from 1 species